AAGUCCCGUAACGAGCGCAACCCUCACCGUAUGUUGCCAGCGUAAAGUCGGGAACUCUUACGGAACUGCCCGUGCAAGCGGGAGGAAGGUGGGGAUGACGUCAAGUCGGCAUGGCCCUUACGCCUGGGGCUUCACACAUGCUACAAUGGGCAGCAACAGACGGCUCCGAGACCGCGAGGUGGAGGGAAUCCGAGAAAUCUGUCCUCAGUUCGGAUUGCAGGCUGCAACUCGUCUGCAUGAAGCUGGAAUCGCUAGUAACCGCAGGUCAGCUAAACUGCGGUGAAUACGUUCCCGGGCCUUGUACACACCGCCCGU
rnacentral:rRNA from 1 species